CUGAAUAACUCAGCUGAUCGCACAGUCCUAGCACUGGUGACAUAUCUUUCAAGUGUCUGCCUUAUCAACUGUCGAUGGUAGUUUACAUGACUACCAUGGUUGUAACGGGUAACGGAGAAUAAGGGUUCGACUCCGGAGAGGGAGCCUGAGAAACGGCUACCACAUCCAAGGAAGGCAGCAGGCGCGCAAAUUACCCAAUCUCAGCUCGAGGAGGUAGUGACGAAAAAUAACGAGACGGUUCUCUAUGAGGUCCGUCAUCGGAAUGGGUACAAUUUAAACCCUUUAACGAGGAUCUAUUGGAGGGCAAGUCUGGUGCCAGCAGCCGCGGUAAUUCCAGCUCCAAUAGCGUAUAUUAAAGUUGUUGCGGUUAAAAAG
rnacentral:rRNA from 1 species